rnacentral:rRNA from 1 species
UCUGAAAAAACAUCAUAGUUACAACUUUCAACAACGGAUCUCUUGGUUCUGGCAUCGAUGAAGAACGCAGCGAAAUGCGAUAAGUAGUGUGAAUUGCAGAAUUCAGUGAAUCAUCGAAUCUUUGAACGCACAUUGCGCCCCUUGGUAUUCCAUGGGGCAUGCCUGUUCGAGCGUCAUUUGUACCUUCAAGCUCUGCUUGGUGUUGGGUGUUUGUCUCGCCUCUGCGUGUAGACUCGCCUUAAAACAAUUGGCAGCCGGCGUAUUGAUUUCGGAGCGCAGUACAUCUCGCGCUUUGCACUCAUAACGACGACGUCCAAAAGUACAUUUUUACACUCUUGACCUCGGAUCAGGUAGGGAUACCCGCUGAACUUAAGCAUAUCAAUAAGCGGAGGA